AGAGUUUGAUCACGGCUCAGGAUGAACGCUAGCUACAGGCUUAACACAUGCAAGUCGAGGGGAAACGACAUCGAAAGCUUGCUUUUGAUGGGCGUCGACCGGCGCACGGGUGAGUAACGCGUAUCCAACCUGCCCAUCACUUGGGGAUAACCUUGCGAAAGUAAGACUAAUACCCAAUGACGUCUCUAGAAGACAUCUGAAAGAGAUUAAAGAUUUAUCGGUGAUGGAUGGGGAUGCGUCUGAUUAGCUUGUUGGCGGGGUAACGGCCCACCAAGGCGACGAUCAGUAGGGGUUCUGAGAGGAAGGCCCCCCANAUUGGAACUGAGACACGGUCCAAACUCCUACGGGAGCA
rnacentral:rRNA from 1 species